ACACAGUGGCGCGGCCGCCAUUUGUAGGACCGAAUCGCGAUUGCUAACGUGCCGUCUAUCUGCAGUGCUGUAAGCUGUGACAACAGCAAAUCACAAAGAAAUGAUAAACUAAAAUUUAAUAACAUUCCCAAAAACCCUGAACGUUGUAAGAAAUGGAUUUCGCGCUAUCAAGAGGGAUAACUGGAGACAGAACACUCCAGACUCUGCAGUGAGCACUUUAUUUCAGGCAAGAAAAGUGAUAAUCCUCUGAACCCCGAUUAUGUGCCAAAUCUGUUUGCCUACCUGUCACCUGAGCAACGACAAAGAAAAACCAAUUGCUACAAGAAAUUUGAGCAAACACAAGC